rnacentral:misc_RNA from 1 species
GUACCCUCAAGCUCUGCUUGGUGUUGGGCGUUUGUCCCGCGUUUUCCGCGUGGACUCGCCUUAAAACAAUUGGCAGCCGGCAUGUUAGCCUGGAGCGCAGCACAUUUUGCGCCUCUUGUCUCUCUUGUUGGCACCCAUCAAGCCCAUUUAUUUGC